rnacentral:rRNA from 1 species
AAGUCGAGCGAGAACCAGGGCUUCGGCCCUGGGGACAGCGGCGAACGGGUGAGUAACACGUGGGUAAUCUGCCCUCGGCACCGGAAUAGCCCGGGGAAACCCGGAUUAAUGCCGGAUGGCCCCUUCACCUCGCGAGGUGAAGGGAAAAGGUAGCUUCGGCCUCCGGCCGAGGAUGAGCCCGCGGCGGAUUAGCUUGUUGGCGGGGUAACGGCCCACCAAGGCGACGAUCCGUAGCUGGUCUGAGAGGACGAUCAGCCACACUGGGACUGAGACACGGCCCAGACUCCUACGGGAGGCAGCAGUGGGGAAUCUUGCGCAAUGGGCGAAAGCCUGACGCAGCGACGCCGCGUGAGGGAAGACGGCCUUCGGGUUGUAAACCUCUUUCAGGAGGGACGAAGCUACUCGGGUUAAUAGCCCAGAGGGUGACGGUACCUCCAGAAGAAGCCCCGGCUAACUACGUGCCAGCAGCCGCGGUAAUACGUAGGGGGCAAGCGUUGUCCGGAUUUACUGGGCGUAAAGCGCGUGUAGGCGGCUACACAGGUCCGUUGUGAAAACUGAAGGCUUAACCUUCAGACGUCGACGGAAACCGUGUGGCUAGAGUCCGGAAGAGGAGAGUGGAAUUCCUGGUGUAGCGGUGAAAUGCGCAGAUAUC